AUGCCGAUGCAGUACUGGUCCAUUGAAGGGGCGCAGGAGGUGUUCGGCGACAAGGUGCGCGUCGACUGGCUCGACAGCCGCACGCUAGAGCGCGGCCACACCAAGACCUUCGCCUGCUGGGUCUGGGUGUGGGACAUGUCGUUCAUCCCCACCAGACACACCUACUGGAAGCUCCCGCAUGGCUCCGGACACGUGGAAGAGAUGGAGGGUUUCUCGCUGCUGGACCGCAGGGUGGCUCCACCACCAGGCGCGACGCGGUAUGACCUCCUCAUCCAUGUCGACCGCAUCAAAGACUAG
rnacentral:rRNA from 1 species